UACGGGGGGAGCAAGCGUUGUUCGGAUUUACUGGGCGUAAAGGGCGCGUAGGCGGCGUAACAAGUCAGUUGUGAAAUCUCCGGGCUUAACCCGGAGCGGCCAAGUGAUACUGUUGUGCUAGAGUGCGGAAGGGGCUACUGGAAUUCUCGGUGUAGCGGUGAAAUGCGUAGAUAUCGAGAGGAACACCUGCGGCGAAGGCGGGUAGCUGGGCCGACACUGACGCUGAGGCGCGAAAGCCAGGGGAGCAAACGGG
rnacentral:rRNA from 1 species